UCCAUCCUUUUGGACACUUGGUAAUUAAAAGCUGCUAUCAAAUCCCACCCCCCUCUUCUCUUCUGUAGUCUAAAUUAUCCUCCCUCUCUCUGACUUCCGUGACUGGUGUCUUUUUGUCUUUAUUUGAGAUAACUCUGAUAGGGCAGGGAUGUAAUGUUUAUAUCCACCUGCAAAGCAUCAGGCGCAUCUCUGGCUCUCCAGAAAGAAUUACUGCUCUGGCCUCUGAACCAGGGGUAGUUUGGUGUCUGUUUCCAUAUGUGUCUCAAAAGAAGGCUAGAGAUUUUGGCAGACUCUUUUUACAAAGUGGUCUUUUCUCCACAAAUAGCAAAUCUGAGGCCACAAAUUCAUUUUGGGUAGACUACCAAAGAACAGACACCUGAUAAAACACCUGAGGUACAUCUAAGCUGGUGUCCUAGGGUGCAUCUACAUGACACCAUUUUUCUGGAAUAACAGCUGUUAUUCUGGAAAAACAAUACUAGCAUCCACACUGCAGUUGCGUGAUUUUGAAAGAAUGUUGAAAUAACGGACAGCUCCUUCGGACGCCGGUAAACCUCCUUCCACAAGGAAUAAGGCCUCUUCCGAAAAAACGUAUGGAAGAGGAUGUAUGUGGAUGCGGAAUAGGGAGUUUUGUCAAAGAAAGAGGCCUUCAGGAAAUCCCACAGGUGCCCUCCUGGCCUCUCCAUCCACAUUCAUCAGAAUGCUAUAGUAUGUAUUCCCUUGGAGCUGCAGACACAGGGGACAGGACUUAUGGCAGGAAGCCGGCCCUCAAAGCCCCCAGCCAUAGCGCAGCUCACAGUACCACAUAUCUGGGCACCAUGUCCAAGCCAAAAGCUCCCCAAAAAUCUCCUGCCCAUCACAGUGAUCAUGCAGAGGGCUCCCAGGAGCCUGCCAGGGGCUGCAAAAGGUGUACACCAUCCUGGUCUGGGGUGGAGAUCCUGGCCCGCCUGGAAGUGUGGGGAAAGGAGGAGAACUUCCAAGAUCACUGCUCCAGAUGGGACAACACCGAUAUAUACGGCCAGAUGGCCAAGAGCCGGGCCACAUUAGAAACCUGGAGCAGGUUCGUAGUAAAGCGAAGGAGCUCUGCGAGGCCUAUGCCAGGGUAAGGGAGCAUAGCUCAUGUUCUGGGGCAGGACCCCACUCCUGCCCCUAUUAUGACGCAUCCUGGGGGGGAGGGGUCAGCCCCUUUGCUACCCCUUAGUGGUGGACUCGGGACUAGAAACACCCUUCCUAGCCUGCCCGGGAGUCCCAGCCCACGAGGAGGAGGACGGGGAGGUGGCCACGGUGAGCACCGUGACCACACUUCCUUUGGAGCCAGUACUCCAUAGCCUGGAUGUGUCCCAGGCAUCCUCCAAGGCAGGGGAAGGAUCAUCAGGUGAGUGGUCUCAGUUUUCUCUCUCUCACAGGGCGGGAGUGCAAUCCUCUCUUGGCCUGGCCCUCGCGCUGCAGUCCGUGCAUGUGGAUGCACGUGCAGCACCAGUCUGCGCCACGCAGCCCCAGGAGGCAACACUGGAGCAUCCCUGGACUCCUGCUCGCAGGCUCUGGGGAGGCCGCCCACACGUCUGACCCCCUGGGGUGGCGGUGCCCUCCCACCACCAGCCACUGCUGGAAAGAGGCUGGGGACAAGGGCACACGCAGGCACUCACACACACUCUGGAGUGCCCCAUACGGGCAUGCAUGCUCAAGGCAACACCUGCUCCCUGGGACAGUGCUGCCAGGUGCCAGUGUGUGUGCAGCAGAGGUGGAAGCCCAGGCAGCUUGAGGUCUCUCUCCUGGCCAUUGGAUCCAGUUUGGCCAGCCAUUUCCCUUGCCUGCUUGUCUGUGGGACAUGGGGUGAGGUGGGAAGCAUGGUCCCCUGGGGACCCCUGCACCUCUGUAAGGCAGGGCCCACUGUCCAGGCCACACAUAGCCUUGCUCCCAGGACAUCACCGUCCUGUGACUCGAGAACUGUUGCUCUCAGCUCACAAGAUGAAGGCAAGGCUGCAGGGACAGUGUCUCCAGGGAUGACUGACCAUCCUUCUUUAUUGUCCCCAGCUCGACCAGCCGUGACUGUGGGGUGAUCGACACCACCCGAGCCAGCCGCCUGACCCCGGGAAAGCCGCACGCACCGGAGGCUCCAGGGGAACCUCAAGAGGGAGUAUGAGGCGGGUAGAUAAACCAACCGAACGAUGAAGGUGCCAAUGGUUCUUGAUGUCUGUGUAGAAUCUGGUUUACAGGAUCUUUCGAAAAAGGGUUCAUUUUUCAUCUAGUGUGGAGACCAUCAACCCUAGGACAGAGGGCCCUGACCAGGGCACGGAGGAGGAGGAGAGCCAGGAGCCGCAGGAGCCCUGAGGGAGCAUGCUGCACAUCCAGGACUUCCGAGUCAUUCCAGCGGACCUGUCGCCGACGUCAUCCGGGGAGGCAACAACAUUCGCACCAGCUGCAAGGGCAGGGCGCACCACACCACCCAGGACAUCCUCCUGCACCCAAGGACUGCGCAGGACCACCCGUG